GGAAAUAACUAAGUCUAAAACCUGAGGAUUCGUACUGGGGGGGCGGCAUUUGUUCCUCAUCAUGUAGGACAUGCCUAGUGCCAUAUGAAGCCUGUCUGUCCCCUUAACGGCAGAGCUGCCCAGAUCACGGGGGACAUAAGAAAGGUCAAGAGCACGCUUUACAGAGGAAGAAGAGCUCAGUACUGAUUGAGGAAUUCCUACCCAUAUCUUCUGGACAGAGGAAAAGCCGCAAGCUGCCUGAGCAUGAAUCUUAAAAAUAAUUCACAGACACUGGAAGACACUUGUUUGCAUUUUGCUCACACACAGCCCCUUUUCUCAUCUGGAGACACGUGAGCCCAUGCGAUGCUGAGAACUGUCUUAAUCCUUGAGAUCACCUGAGGCCCUCAUCCCUUAUCCAUCUCUAGGCCAGUGCUGGCUUUCACAUCACAAUUAUCCAGUCUUGGCCAUUUUUCUUGGAGAAACAGAAAAUGAAUGAAAACAUCCCAUCCCCAUGGCAUUGCCUCCAAAACAAGCACAAAUACACCACACAGAAAACAUUUCUUUCCCGACCUGGUGUUUCUGUAAUGAAGCUUAAGUGUUAAUUUACUGAGGCUUUGGUCUUGUGUCACUCAGUCUCUUCACAUAGUCCAUAGUAUAUCAGGCUCAUUAUGAAGAAAACAAAAAGCAAGCAUAAAUAUUUAUUCUCUUC